CCUACGGGUGGCUGCAGUGGGGAAUAUUGGGCAAUGGGCGCACGCCUGAACCAGCAACGCCGCGUGAAGGAAGACGGCCCUCGGGUUGUAAACUUCUUUUGUCAGGGACGAAACAAAUGCCGGUACCUGACGAAUAAGCCACGGCUAACUACGUGCCAGCCGCUGCGGUAAUACGUAGGUGGCAAGCGUUAUCCGGAUUUACUGGGUGUACAGGGCGUGUAGGCGGGAGAGCAAGUCAGAUGUGAAAUUCCAGGGCUCAACCCUGGAACUGCAGUUGAAACUGUUUUUCUUGAGUGAUGGAGAGGCAUGCGGAAUGCCGGGUGUAGCGGUGAAAUGCGUAGAUAUACGGAGGAACACCAGUGGCGAAGGCGGCCUGCUGGACAUUAACUGACGCUGAGGCGCGAAAGCGUGGGGAGCAAACAGGAUUAGAUACCCUGGUAGUC
rnacentral:rRNA from 1 species